GCGGAUGUGGCGGAAUUGGUAUACGCGCCAGGUUUAGGUUCUGGUAGUCUUUGGCUAUGAGAGUUCAAGUCUCUCCAUCCGCA
rnacentral:tRNA from 1 species